rnacentral:rRNA from 1 species
GAUGAACGCUGGCGGCGUGCCUAAUACAUGCAAGUCGAGCGAACGGACGAGAAGCUUGCUUCUCUGAUGUUAGCGGCGGACGGGUGAGUAACACGUGGAUAACCUACCUAUAAGACUGGGAUAACUUCGGGAAACCGUAGCUAAUACCGGAUAAUAUUUUGAACCGCAUGGUUCAAAAGUGAAAGACGGUCUUGCUGUCACUUAUAGAUGGAUCCGCGCUGCAUUAGCUAGUUGGUAAGGUAACGGCUUACCAAGGCAACGAUGCAUAGCCGACCUGAGAGGGGGGACGGCCACACUGGAGAUGAGACCCGGUGCAGGGUCCUACGGGAGGCCGCAAGAGGGAAUCUUCCGGCAAGGGCGAAAGCCGGAAGGAGCAACGCCGCGGGAGUGAUGAAGGUCUUCGGAUAGUAAAACUCUGGUAAUAGGGAAGAACAUAAGUGUAAGUAACUGUGCACAUCUUGACGGUACGUAAUCAGAAAGCCACGGCUAACUACGUG